AUUGAACGCUGGCGGCAGGCCUAACACAUGCAAGUCGAACGAGUGGCGGACGGGUGAGUAAUGUCUGGGAAACUGCCCGAUGGAGGGGGAUAACUACUGGAAACGGUAGCUAAUACCGCAUACCAUCGGAUGUGCCCCGAUGGGAUUAGCUUGUAGGUGAGGUAACGGCGCACCUAGGCGACGAUCCCUAGCUGGUCUGAGAGGAUGACCAGCAACACGGGAACUGAGACAGCGUCCAGACUGCUGCGUGAGGCAGCAGGGGGGAAGAUUGACCAAUGGGCGCAAGCCUGAUGCAGCCAUGCCGCGUGUAUGAAGAAGGCCUUCGGUUUGUAAAGUACUUGCAGCGGGGAGGCGUGACCCGCAGAAGAAGCACCUGCUAACUCCGUGCCAGCAGCCGCGGUAAUUC
rnacentral:rRNA from 1 species